AUUGAACGCUGGCGGCAUGCCUAACACAUGCAAGUCGAACGGGGGCAGCAAUGCCCUAGUGGCGGACGGGUGAGGAAUACGUAGGAACCGGCCCACGAGUGGGGGACAACCUGGGGAAACCCAGGCUAAUACCGCAUACGCUCGCGAGAGGAAAGCGGGGGACCUUCGGGCCUCGCGCUGGUGGACGGGCCUACGUCCGAUUAGCUAGUUGGUGGGGUAAAAGCCUACCAAGGCGACGAUCGGUAGCUGGUCUGAGAGGAUGAUCAGCCACACUGGGACUGAGACACGGCCCAGACUCCUACGGGAGGCAGCAGUGGGGAAUAUUGGACAAUGGGCGCAAGCCUGAUCCAGCAAUGCCGCGUGGGUGAAGAAGGCCUGCGGGUUGUAAAGCCCUUUAAGCGGGGAGGAAAGCCGGGAUGUGAAUAGCACCUCGGGGUGACGUUACCCGCAGAAUAAGCACCGGCUAACUCCGUG
rnacentral:rRNA from 1 species